ACUGUCUCAUGAUCUUGCCUUACACCCUAAAUACUUAGGUAGAAACUUGCGUAAAACAAUUGAAAAAAAGCUAUUUCAGGAAGUUGAAGGAAAAGUAAACGGCCGUUAUGGUCACAUUAUCGCCAUUAUAUCAAUUGACAAAAUAAGUAAAGGUCAGAUUGAUGAUAGGAAUGGAAGUGCUUACUUUAAUGUGAAUUACACAGCAGUCGUUUUUAGAACUUUUCGAAAUGAGGUUGUUGAUGCAGUUAUAAAGGAGGUUUCUUCCAUGGGCUUGCUUGUUGAAGUCGGCCCCACUCAGUGCUUUAUUUCUAAAAGGACUAUUCCAGAUAUGCAAUACCUUUCGGAUGUAAGUUUGCCUUGUUAUUGUACCCAAGAUCAAAGUGAAAAAUUAGUUGCUGGGGAUGAAGUCAGAGUAAAAAUUACAGGCGUAAGGAUGGAUCCAACCAACUCAAGGGCAACCGGAAGACUUUACAAGGAGGGAAGAUAACGAUGAAAUUUUUCCUUCUGAAUUAGUUUGUUCUUGAUCUUUACUUUGUACCUCCUAACUUCAUAUUGCGAGGAU